rnacentral:lncRNA from 1 species
GCAGACUCAAAUAGAAAACGCCAUUGUUGAGAUGAUGCCGGACACCGCGGAUCUUCAACACCACCCAACCGAAUCCUCAACCGCCGCCGUGAACCGCGGACCUGACUCCGCGCGUGCUUGGACUCAAGUUCGUCCCCGGCUGGUGGGGUCCCACCUAUCAUCAUCUAGCGCCGUCGGGGUAAAAACCAGGCAGAGCUCACGGUGAAUUCUCCGGCGAUGGCUUGCGCUCCUCAACGGUCUCCGCCCAUCUAUAAAACCAUGGCGUGGGUUUUCCCUCCCCUCAUCCUUCUCCUCUGUGUACCGCGCGACCUAUGAGAGUGUGGGCAUGGUAGACCGAACCGGGGCGGAAUCCGUUCACCGCCGUUUGGCCUUCUCGCCAGCGUCUUGCUCCUCGUGACAGCACCGGAGGGGCCGCCUAGGAGGAGGGAGUCUAGUGCUGACCUCGGGCAGAGGUGAUGGCCACUGUCGCGGCGGCGAUUCCUCACCGUCGUGGUCACGGUGUCGUAGUUCCGCUCCGCGCCGUGGACUGGGUCAGCUACGUCUCCAUCCCUGGUAUGAUACCCAUGACUAGGUUCACCUUAAGCUCCUCAUCAAUUAGCACCGAUCAGUCUUGUGUUUGGGGAACCAGAGCCUCGACGGGUGUUCUCCAGCCAUGGUGCCACCGUCGGCCCGGGUAGCGCUGUCGUAACUGGGCGACUGGAGGAUAGGGUCACGACCGUAGGGUUAGAUGGGGGGAGAGCGCUCGACCGCUGAUCUAAUGAUGAACGACUCCGAUUAGAAAACGGGUACCGCCCCUUUUGUGGGAUUGUCCUGGGUCCUCGGAUCACGAUCCUGCGACUUGGAUCUGAUCUCGUGGAUUUUAAAUCGUCACCAUCGAUAGAGUAUCCAAUGGCCACAAAUCCUUAACGGGAUUACGGUAGAGUAGAUCUAAUCAUGGGCGCCGGUUUCAGAUCGAAUGGCCCAGAAUGUGGGAUACCCUUUGGCCAUGACAUUAUGCUAAACAGCCCCCAUGGAAACUGUGAAACAACCCAUCGUCCUGGCCAUAGUCAAAGCCUUACUUUGGGUCCCUGAAACUUGUAAAACAACCCCUGUGCUCUCUGGUUAUUAUGCACGUAGUCCAAGAAAUACAGAAAAUAGGAAAAAGGAAUAUAGAAAUUGGUUUUUAAACAAAAAUAAUUCUAGAAACUUGAAAAAUUCAUAUUUAAUUCAUUUUAAGUCCAAAUUAAUCCAUUUCAAUUUCUAUAAUUUUGUAAUAUUAUUGUUUAUCAUUUAGUACCACUGUUUUGACAUGAAUAUCACAAUAAAAUUUGUAUCCUAAUUAAUCUUGUACAAAACACAUAGAAUCUUUGGAAAUCCAUAACUUAAAAUCUAUAACUCCAAAAUUAAUAAUUCAUGUUCCUGUGAUCUUAUUUCAAUAUGUAGAUUAUUAAUAUGUAUUAUAUAUAUAUAUAUAUAUAUAUAUGUUUGGUGUGAUGUUAAUUUUGCCUAUACACUGUUUGUUUGCAUUGCUACGACUAGCGUGAGGUCACGAGUCACCUGAAGAGCAAGUUGGUACCUGCAAACUCAAGUGUCAGGCAAGUUGUGCCCUUGAUCACUUCUUUUUACCCAUUCAUGUUCUGAUUAAUCAUAAUGAUCUGCAUAGGUUAAUUUUGAUGGGACCCAAUAGGUCACCCUAGUUUGACUAUCUUUAUGCCUUGUUUACCACUGAACUUUUUGGGUAGUACUUGCUAGUGCUAUAUGUGGAUUUGGGCAUUGAGAUACACAUUAUUCAUACUUUUGUUAUCAGUUGUUAUUUACUAUUCAUGCUAAUAUCAUUAUGUUAAUUGGAACAUGGAGCGACCACCCGGAAAAACAGUGCUACCACAAGGGUAGUAUGGGAUGCCCUUGGCUAAUUAACUAGGAAAGCUAGUGGAUGACUACCUUACCCGAAAGGGGCAAGGGCAGUAGGGGAGUGGUCAGUGUAGGGAGGUCCUUGGGUUGAUUUUGCUGCGAUGGUGGUCAGGCGAGGGAUCCCUGCAUUGGAGCUUCCUAUAAACUGUAGCGGUUUUUCUGAAGCUAGUGGAACUUUGUAAAAGCCUCGUAGUGUUACCAUGCCUCGCUUCCUUGGUAAAGGUGUAUGGGGCCCGUACAACCCCGUGGCAGAUGGGUAACAUGACUUGUGGGUAAAGAUGCGCAACCUCUGCAGAGUGUAAAACGGGUAUACUAGCCGUGCUCAUGGUCAUGAGCAGCUCGGACCCUCACAUGAUUAAUUUAUGGAACUAAAUUCAAUUUGUCAUAUGCAUUGCAUCGCAGGUGAUGUUUUUACUUUUGUUCUACUACUUAAUUAGGUUGGUAUUUACUUAUACUUAGUAACUGCUAAUAAAAUUUUGACCAACUUUAAAAGCAAUGCUCAGCUCUAACCAUCCUCUCUGGUAAGCCUUACACUUCACGUGAGCUCUCACCUUUGGUGAGUUCAUGCACAUUAUUCCCCACGACUUGUUGAACUAUGAACGUAUGUGAGCUCACUCUUGCUGUCUCACCCCCCACAGGUGAAGAACAGGUACCACAGGAUGAGGCGCAUGGAGGAUGCUGUGACGAGUUCGUGAGAGGUCUAGGCCGUCGUCUCCCAGUCAACUUUGGGGUUGUUGGACCGUUGUUUCCUUAUAAUGUAAUUAUUUAUUUAUUUUGUAUAGAACUUGUAUUAUAUAGUAAAGAUGUGACAUUCGAUCCUGUGUCAUGAUUCAUCAUAUGUGUGAGACUUGGCCUCAGUACACCUGGUGAUUAUGUUCAUGCCCGGGUUUUAGACCCUAAAAUCCGGGUGUUACAGUUUUAUCUACA